rfam:Nicotiana attenuata strain TT scaffold04799, whole genome shotgun sequence.
AGGAGCCGUGUGAAAUGAAAGUCUCAUGCACGGUUUUGAAUAAGAUAAAAAAGUGAGGGAUCUUCUUUUCGAUUCUGAUUCUUCCGUUCCAGUCAUUGCUUUCAAUAUUCC